rnacentral:rRNA from 1 species
UACGGAGGGAGCGAGCGUUGUCCGAAUUUACUGGGCGUAAAGCGCGCGUAGGCGGGGGAUUAAGUGAGAAGUGAAAGGCUGAGGCUCAACCUCAUGCAGUGCUUCUCAUACUGGUCCUCUUGAGGGUGGUAGAGAGAAGUGGAAUGGCUGGUGUAGCGGUGAAAUGCGUAGAUAUCAGGAGGAACACCUAUUGCGAAGGCAGCUCGCUGGGACGUUACUGACGCUGAGACGCGAAAGCGUGGGGAGCAAACAGG